rnacentral:rRNA from 1 species
GAGAUGAACGCUAGCGACAGGCCUAACACAUGCAAGUCGAGGGGCAGCAUAAAGGUAGCAAUACUUUGGUGGCGACCGGCGCACGGGUGAGUAACACGUAUGCAACCUACCUGUAAGAGGGGAAUAACCCGGAGAAAUUCGGACUAAUACCGCAUAAUACCACUGAACUGCAUGGUUUAGUGGUUAAACAUUUAUGGCUUACAGAUGGGCAUGCGUAUGAUUAGCUAGUUGGUGAGGUAACGGCUCACCAAGGCAACGAUCAUUAGGGGUUCUGAGAGGAAGGUCCCCCACACUGGUACUGAGACACGGACCAGACUCGUACGGGAGGCAGCAGUGAGGAAUAUUGGUCAAUGGGCGAGAGCUGAACCAGCCAAGUCGCGUGAAGGAAGAAGGUUCUAUGGUUGUAAACUUCUUUUGUAAGGGAAUAAAAAAGAGUACGUGUACUCUAUUGUAUGUACUUUACGAAUAAGGAUCGGCUAACUCCGUGCCAGCAGCCGCGGUAAUACGGAGGAUCCGAGCGUUAUCCGGAUUUAUUGGGUUUAAAGGGUGCGUAGGCGGACCCUUAAGUCAGUGGUGAAAGUUUGCGGCUCAACCGUAAAAUUGCCAUUGAAACUGAGGGUCUUGAGUGUAAAUGAGGUAGGCGGAAUGUGUUGUGUAGCGGUGAAAUGCUUAGAUAUAACACAGAACACCAAUUGCGAAGGCAGCUUACUGGGAUACAACUGACGCUGAGGCACGAAAGCGUGGGGAUCAAACAGGAUUAGAUACCCUGGUAGUCCACGCAGUAAACGAUGAAUACUAGCUGUAUGCGAUAUACUGUAUGUGGCAAAGCGAAAGCGUUAAGUAUUCCACCUGGGGAGUACGUUCGCAAGAAUGAAACUCAAAGGAAUUGACGGGGGCCCGCACAAGCUGAGCGGAGGAACAUGUGGUUUAAUUCGAUGAUACGCGAGGAACCUUACCCGGAAAUGCAUCUGACCGACUUGGAAACAGGUCUUCUAGCAAUAGCAGAUGUGUAGGUGCUGCAUGGUUGUCGUCAGCUCGUGCCGUGAGGUGUCGGCUUAAGUGCCAUAACGAGCGCAACCCCUAUUGAUAGUUACUAACAGGUUAAGCUGAGGACUCUAUUGAGACUGCCACCGUAAGGUGUGAGGAAGGUGGGGAUGACGUCAAAUCAGCACGGCCCUUACGUCCGGGGCGACACACGUGUUACAAUGGGGGGUACAGAGGGUUGCUACUUGGUGACAAGAUGCUAAUCUCUUAAAGCCUCUCUCAGUUCGGAUCGGAGUCUGCAACUCGACUCCGUGAAGCUGGAUUCGCUAGUAAUCGCGCAUCAGCCAUGGCGCGGUGAAUACGUUCCCGGGCCUUGUACACACCGCCCGUCAAGCCAUGGAAGCUGGGGGGACCUGAAGUAGUAACCGCAAGGAGCGUCCUAGGGUAAAACUAGUAACUGGGGCUGUAGUCAG